UUGUAUUGGGGUGUAAUAAUGUGAGAGAACAAACUUUACAGUGCUGCUUGUUGCGUGCCUCCGGCCUCCCCCUCUCUUGAGCUCUGACCGCCUCCGGCCUGCCCCGCUGCCGUCGCGGUGUCGCCGCGGUGGGGGACGGCUGUUGGGUCCACGACGGCUUGGCGCUGGUAGCGGGAAGCGACGCCGCCUGACCGGUCGUGGUCGUGGAGGGGCGGAGCUAGGUCGGCCGCGCGCGCCGCCUGGCCGACUGCAGGUGGGGAGCCGCGGCGCUGGGCGGGCUGCAGGAGGGGAGCGAUGGCGCCGGGCCGUCCGCGCGCGCCACCUGGACGGUCAUGCACGAGGAGGGGUUUCUGAAACAUCGCGAUCCGGUUGUUUCGGAUGGCACCACGGGGACCAGUGCUGCCGGUGCUGGUCUGCCGGAGGUUGCUGAUUGAUCCCUAAGAUCGAGUUCGUACUUCGUAGCUACCUAAAGAUAAGUUCUCGUUGAUUUUUCAUUGUUGCCAUCCUGCAGCGCAUCUCAGCGGAGCAUUUCGUUUGCUGUAGUCCGGUAAAGUAUACUUCAGAAGCCAGACUCCUUUUGUUUAUGCAAUAUGAGUUAGAUACAAAAGAGUUCUGCUAACCGAGAGAGCUGGACUUCAGAAUCAGAUGUCCGAGGAUGGAUUCUAUGAACAUAUUACAUUUCUGUAUGUAAGAGUUUCGCCUUUCUUUUAAAUGAUGCUCAGAAUUCUUUAUUCGUUUUCUCGAAAAAGAAUUCUUCAUUCA